GCGAAGCAGCGAGAACGAUCUCGCGCGUGCGAAAACGCUUCGGCGAGUAAGCGAAGGACGACAGCUGUGAGGCGUCGUCGAUACUCGGCGAAUUCUGUGCGAGGGAAGCGGCGAGACCGAUCAAGUGGAGGACAGCAGCCGCGAGACUUCGCCGGUACUCGGCGAAUUCGUAGAUGCGAAGGACUCCACAUCAGCCAGCAACGCGGUGACGACGGUUGCAAACGCAUGGAUACCGGCUAACGGAUCCUAGCCCAGAUCGUGGCCAGUGACAUCAGUGUUGUCCACCCCCAUCACUUCCUCAUGAAUCUCUGAACCCACGACGAGCGCAUGGGUAAGGAUCAGGUUCCCGCAGAGGACGACAUGGAGCUCGUCCCGACGACAUCACGCCUGGCCGGCCGUGCCGCCCGGGUCUGCCGCGCUGGUGGUCCGUCACGAACCUCUACUUAUGUGCAUGUCGGAAUUCAUCCAAGCAGAUGUACGUGCAUGCACAACCAGCUGAUCAGGCACCAAGAGCCCAGCUACCUACGUGCAUGCCGGCCGGACCUCAUCCAAGCAGAUGUACAGAUGCACAGGUUGAGCCCACCAAGCCCAGCCUCUAGGAUUGGUUGGAGAUCCAAAUAUAUGUCUAUUCAUAUAAAAUAAUUUACAUACAGGGUGAAGUCCCCAAUUGAAAAGGCUUGGUCAUAUACGCUACAAUUACAUGUUCAAGUUGUCGUUUCUAUAAUAUUAUUUCAUAACGUUCCAGUUAGUUUUUUCUGAACCCAUGCACAUACAUGAGCAUGUACACAUGUCUGGUGUGGAUGAAAUUUAAUCUAGUUAUGUAUAUGCAUGUAGCUCAGUUGCGUUGAUCAAUUUAUUGCAAGUUAGUCAAUAAUCAAGACAGUGAUGGAUUAUUAAUUUUUGUGCGAAAAAGUGAUGGAUUUUUUUUCAA